CAAGAGCAAGAAAAAAAAAGUGUCCAUGGCUGCUCACGGCUAGAUUGGGGUUUAAAAAAAAAAAAUCAGUUUUGUUGCUUAGUAAAAAUUCUAAGGAGAAGACAAGGAGAUAGAGGUGGAGAAGCAAGAAUAAGUAUAAAGAUUUAAGACACAAAUUGGAGCCAAGUAUCCAAGGCGAAAAGAGCAACGAGGCAAAAGGGAUUCACGGAUAGUCGUCGACAGGUACAUACGACAGGUUCGCUGAUCCGCCCGCUUAGGAUCUUAUUCUGCUAUUCUGAGGCGCUCUCUUAUCCGGAGCCUAUAUUUUUGGUACAGUUUCCUGCUAUUGUAUAAAUGUACGUCACUCAGGGGUACGACGGGGCCCUGUCCCGUCAUAUGAUUCUGUCGGUCUGUUUAGAGGUCUGUGGACAUGUUUGUGAGUUGGGGGUCUUCCUGUAUGAAUGCGUGUAUAUGUUGUGUUUGGGCGAUCCCAUUCGCCGCGGCGGCCGGUCCGCAUAUGUUUAAAUGUUGCUUUGUUGGCCCUGUGUGGCCUUUGUUGGUAUUUUCUGUGCGCAGGGUAUAUUGGAUAGUCCGUAAAACAAAGGAAACUCUGCCGAAAUUUUUCUGGAAAUUAUCUAAAUUUAAAAUAUAGUCUUGUCGGCUUCUGCUAUAUACUGGAAUGCGGUUAAUAAAAUUUGAGAUAGCAUUUGAUAGAUGUGUCUGGGUGCCCAGAUCGGGCACUAGUCACGGCCUACGGGGUUAGGUCG